UUAUAUCCCAUAUUUUUAAAACUUGAAAACCUUUCGCUGCUGAUUAUUGGCGGCGGAAAGGUUGCCCUUGAAAAGCUGGAAUCUGU
rnacentral:sRNA from 1 species